GAGCGGACAGAUGGGAGCUUGCUCCCUGAUGUUAGCGGCGGACGGGUGAGUAACACGUGGGUAACCUGCCUGUAAGACUGGGAUAACUCCGGGAAACCGGGGCUAAUACCGGAUGGUUGUUUGAACCGCAUGGUUCAAACAUAAAAGGUGGCUUCGGCUACCACUUACAGAUGGACCCGCGGCGCAUUAGCUAGUUGGUGAGGUAACGGCUCACCAAGGCAACGAUGCGUAGCCGACCUGAGAGGGUGAUCGGCCACACUGGGACUGAGACACGGCCCAGACUCCUACGGGAGGCAGCAGUAGGGAAUCUUCCGCAAUGGACGAAAGUCUGACGGAGCAACGCCGCGUGAGUGAUGAAGGUUUUCGGAUCGUAAAGCUCUGUUGUUAGGGAAGAACAAGUACCGUUCGAAUAGGGCGGUACCUUGACGGUACCUAACCAGAAAGCCACGGCUAACUACGUGCCAGCAGCCGCGGUAAUACGUAGGUGGCAAGCGUUGUCCGGAAUUAUUGGGCGUAAAGGGCUCGCAGGCGGUUUCUUAAGUCUGAUGUGAAAGCCCCCGGCUCAACCGGGGAGGGUCAUUGGAAACUGGGGAACUUGAGUGCAGAAGAGGAGAGUGGAAUUCCACGUGUA
rnacentral:rRNA from 1 species